rnacentral:rRNA from 1 species
AUGCCAAUUAUGACCCAGAAGCUCACUUACUACCAGAAGGAAGAACACGAGAAGGCAUUCCCGAACGCCCCGUGUUUCUGCCCAGGGUCCAGCUGCAGCUUUGCAGGGCCAACAGACACCCUCCUUGAACAUUUCGCCUUCCAGCACAAGUGGCCAUGUACAACCAUCAAAUACUAUGAUAAGUUCCACCUAGAACCAGGUCUACAUUUUUUUCGUACCAAAGAAAGGGAAAAUUUUCUGCUCAACGUGGCACUAGAGCCAAUCGGGCAUGCCAUCUUUGUCGUCUGCAUCCAACCUAAAGUUACAAACUCUAAGUUCAAAUGUCAAAUGUCCUACUGUUGCUUUACGACCGGCUAUUAUCAGAGUUCAAUGUACAAGAUACGAAGUUCAUCGCUGUUUGAUGGGUAUACCUAA